rnacentral:lncRNA from 1 species
UACACAGUAGAAGCCAGCAAGGUUUUGAAAUGUGCUGUAAUAGGCACCUAAUUUAUUGGUCAGGAAUCCUGGUCCAGCAAUCCUAAGUACCAAUGGCUCCUGCUGUUUACUUUGAUAUUAUUCUGGAUUAAAUGGAAUUCUUACUAUUUAAAUCUCUAUAAUAUUUCCGUAUCAGAAGGGACUAUUUGGUUUUUUAAUUAAACUUGGCUUUUUAAUACUGUAUCAUUUUAUAACCAAUAUUUUUGAUAAAAAGAAAAAAAAACUCAACCAAGUAAGUUAACUUAUUGAAUCAUAAGCUGAAAUUUAGUAAGAAUUAAGUUUUUUAAAAAAAAAAAAUAUAUAUAUAUAUAAUCUAGACACUUUGUAUCUUAUAUUUUUAGAUGAAGUCUGUGCAGUGUGACAGGGAAACAUUUAAUAGCUUUUAGCAUACUAAGAUAUUUUAAAUAGACAUUUCCUAUAUGUACAUAUAAAUUUUUUCAUUAAAAUAAUGUGUUUUGAUACCAGAAUUAGGUUUUAAUGAUCUUAAAAUUAAAAGGGAUGGGGGGUGGCUCAAUGGAUAAGUCAUGUCUAGUACAGGCAUGGGGAUUGGAGUUUGUGUCCCCAUACCUACAUACAAAUCUGGGUGGGCUUGAUGGUCUGCCUGUAGUCCCAGCACUCAGGAGGAAGAGACAGGAUUUCCUGGGACAAGCUGGCUGGCGAGAGGAGCCGAUGGAUGAGAGGCAGCUCUUUUGAGAGACCACCCCUACCUUAGUAAAAAAGGAAGAUUCCCAAAGUCAAUGUCUGUUCUCUCUAUGUACAGACUCAUACAUAUAUCCUGUUCACAUAUGCACACCACACACACACACGCACACACACCUAUGAAUGCAUAUAUACACACAGACUCACAUACAUGCAUGCACACCACAUAUAUUGACGCGUACAAAAGAUUAAGAUGGUAUUAAGAGAACCUUUGUGUGAUGCUAUGCACACAUCUCAUCAGGUGACUUGUAUUUCUUUUGCUAGCACACUGUCGAUUUUAAUUAGUCUCCAGAUUAUGUUCAUCUUCAUUAGUAAGGCCAUGUUGUGCUCAGUUUUCCAGUGCCCAGCAGACAGUGUACCUUCUGUUCUGUAGGCAGAUUCUCGUCAGGAAUAUCCAAUGAUUUCAUGACAGCAUAAACACCUUCCACCCACAGGGAUACUUGUAAAUGAUUUAUGUACAGGCUUGUCACUAUUUAAAGUUUAUUAAUGUACUUUGGGAACUUUUAAGGGUGUUAAGUAACUAUGGUAUUACCAGUUAUCCUAAGUUGUAGGAAGGAAAAGCAGGUCUAAGAGGUACACGCUUGUAAUUCCAUUACUUGGAAAGUGGAGGCAGGAGGAUCAGAAAUUCAAGGUCAUGUUCAGCUAUGCACUAGAGACACGCCUCAAAAAAAAUUGUCACUUUGACUCCUCUUUUAUAACUCAGAUGCCCUCCCUUUAAAAUCUGCUUUCCAUCCUCCUCCUCUUCCUUUCUUUUCUUUGUGAGACUGAGGAUCUAUGGUGUCUUACAUUGAUAGAUAAGCAUUGCGACUGAGCUUCCUCCUCGGCCCCUUCAAAUACGGUUUCUAACACAAACAAAAUAGUUGACCCAGACCUGCCAUCAUUGAAUGAGUGAGCAUCGUGGCUGGCUGCUGGCAUUCUCUAGACCUACAUACAGCAAGAGAACCUUGGGUAAAGACCACUGGAUCUUUACCCAAGCAGUAUGCAUAAAAUCAAAGAUCUACUCAGGAUCCCUUACAACAGAAAACCACCAAAAACUUGCCAAACGUUCCGGUUCUGAGCAUCACUAAUGGCAAUAUGUACAUCUUUGAAAGCACCUCUUAGCACUCAAAAGAGAUGCCAGGGGCAUUUCUGUAAUCAGGAAUAUCUAACACACCUUUCAGAGAGGAAGGAUUGUAGCUUUAGAGAGGCUAUUCCCUCAUAGAGAGGGCCGCCGAAACUAUUUCUAGAUCAGUAACUUCUGAGAAUUAAAAGAAAAAUAUAAAUUACACUAUAGGCAGACUAAACCUAUGACUCAGUACAUUGUACAGUUUUAUAAACAUUAUCUUUUGUGCUGGGUAAUCAAGAAUAAAGAUAUUCUCAGACACCUGGCACAAAUUCCCGAAUUAACUUUAGGAUUAUUUAUUUAAGAUAAAGAUUGGGUUUUUUGUUUUUGUCUGCUGUUCAGUAGCAUUUCUCCAACUGUAGUCAUAUAGGGUGAAUUUCUUUGUGUGUGUACCUUGUCUUUCCUAAGCAUAGGUUGUAUGUGAAUAAGUAAUUCAGUUCCAUGGGAACUGAGAGAACACUCAGCAACUCAGAACACUUGGUAUUCUAUUUCCAGCACUCCCGGGGUGGCUCACAAGCAUCCAGAACUCUUGUUUCAGGGUAUCUGAUGCUCGCUUCUGGCCUCCAGAACACAGGCACCAGGCAUUCAUAUUGCACACAUACAGGCAAAACAUUCAUACAUGCAAUCAAUCAAUUAGUAAAUAUCUUUCCCUCCCAAAUUAAAAAAGUUAAAUUCUUUCUGAUGUAUUUUGGUAUUUUCUAAAGGAGCUGAUAAAUCUUUGCCACAAUUUAAAAAACAAGUAUAAUGCAGUUGUACUCACUUCUUUUUACUACUAGUGUGAAAUUACAUAAGGUCUUUUUGUGUUUAAUAUUUAAUAAACCAAAUAUUAAGCAUAAAAUGCUGAUGUACCUGGAAGACACAUGUGUGGUUUCUUAAAAAUAGAAUGUUUUUGUUUUGGAAUGCUUUGCUAAUGUGUAAUUAUAUAAAGCUGAACAGGGACGGGAAGGGAUUCUUUUUACACUCUGCUUCUGGGGAGGUGUUUGAAGAGAGCACCUUCCCAAUGUAUGGACUUUUAGUGCCCUUGGCCUGUCAUCUCCACAAAGUCUCAUCACGCAGAUGCAGCUUGCCUGGCAUUCUCUAGGUAGCCCAGGCUGGCCUUGAGCUCAUAGCAAUCCUCCUGCCUCAGUCUCCUGAGUACUGGGUUUGCAGGUUUCGGGUACCACAUCAGCUUGAUUUCAUAAUGGAUAAAGGAAUAGUUUGGAGAAAAUAAUUUCUUCUGCAGUCUUUUUUAUUUCUGUCUAAUUUAAAAAUCUGUUACUUCCUUAAAAGGAGCUAAUAAAGGUUUUGAUGUAUUCUUACAUCCAAGUGCCAUCUCUGUGUCAGUUUGGAUUUGUAUAUAUUCUGUUAAUUGUUGUUGUUGUUUCAUGUCAGCAGUAUUUGUAUCCAACUUAACUUAUAUUUUCUCAAGUAUUAAAAUGUCAGCAUAAACCCACUCUGUUUGCUUUUUUAAUGUAUUUUAACUGUGUUUUGAUUAUUUGACCCAUGUUGGAAAUUGCAUAUAUGAAACUGAUAAAUUAAGAGUUUUAAAUAUUAUGUUAUUUUAAACAUUUUUUUAUUGUAUUGUUUCUCGAUAUUGUUUCAGAAAGACCAGACUCGUGGCUAAUUAUCUUUGAGAUAAUGGAAAUGAUCAGUUAUUAAAGUCAAAUUUUAUAGGACACACCAACACUGUGCUUACAGAAAGUCACUGAUAAUAGAAUUUCAAACUUCCUUUUCCCAUAGUCCUGUUUCAGGGUCACACUUUGAUACACCGUAAAUGUAUUUGAAAUCCUUUUUUUAAUGUUCUUUUAUGACCAGAGCAAUUAUUAAAAUGGAGUUAACCUACUAUGUAUUUCCUGGGCUGUUUCUAAGAAUAAAAUCCCAAAUGAAGUUUUAUGUUUGCCUAACUUUAUAAGUGUAAAAAAUUUAAGUGUAAGUGUAUUUUAUGACAUUCUGGAAAAGAUGAGGCACACUUAAAACCUUUUUUGGGUAAAUAUGAAAACACAGACAAAUCUUAAGUGGUUUUACAAUAUCUAUACUGUUAAUGUAGAAAACCCACAAUCUUGAAGGAAUAAUGCAAAGAUAAUGUUUUCUCUUUCUACAUUAGGUGGGAACAAUUUAAGCACUGGUUGGAGAUAUAGCCUCAGUACACACCAAUUAAAAUUAACCUCUGUGGCC